ACAAUGGACCCAGAGACACGUCGCAUGAUGCAAGUAACCAUUGAAGAUGCGGUAGGCGCAGACCAAUUGUUCACAACGCUAAUGGGUGACCAAGUUGAGCCGCGUCGUAACUUCAUCGAAGAGAACGCGCUUAAAGUAGCAAACCUAGACGUUUAGAUUAUCUUUCCUUUGCUGGAUAUGCUGAUUUCGUUGUCGAAGGUGCUCACAUACACUUGUAUGCUGCGCGCCUUCUCCUAGAACUAAGCAUAUCCCCCUGCGGAAAAACGAAUCUAAAUUUCUUUUGAUAGAAUUUUAAAAGCACUGCUUUCGGGUGGUGCUUUUUUAUUGAGUGGAGAGAAACCAGAUAAAAGAAACGAGACACAAGAAUGGGCUGCACUCUAUGGAGGCGGGGAAGCUUGGCUUUGAAACUCUACAUUUAAGGAAAGAGUGGAUAUAAG
rnacentral:rRNA from 1 species